AUUGAACGCUGGCGGCAGGCUUAACACAUGCAAGUCGAGCGAGCGGCGGACGGGUGAGUAAUGUCUGGGAAACUGCCUGAUGGAGGGGGAUAACUACUGGAAACGGUAGCUAAUACCGCAUACCAUCAGAUGGGCCCAGAUGGGAUUAGCUAGUAGGUGGGGUAAGGGCUCACCUAGGCGACGAUCCCUAGCUGGUCUGAGAGGAUAACCAGCCACACGGGAACUGGGACAGGGGCCAGACCCCGACGGGGGGCAGCAGGGGGGAAUAUUGCACAAUGGGCGCAAGCCUGAUGCAGCCAAGCCGGGGGUGUGAAGAGGGCCUUCGGGUUGUAAAGCACUUUCGGCGAGGAGGGGUUACUCGCAGAGGAAGCACCGGCUACUACCGUGCCAGCGGCCGCGGUAAUA
rnacentral:rRNA from 1 species